rnacentral:rRNA from 1 species
UACGAAGGGGGCUAGCGUUGCUCGGAAUCACUGGGCGUAAAGCGCACGUAGGCGGCUUACUAAGUCAGGGGUGAAAUCCUGGAGCUCAACUCCAGAACUGCCUUUGAUACUGGUGAGCUUGAGUCCGGAAGAGGUGAGUGGAACUGCGAGUGUAGAGGUGAAAUUCGUAGAUAUUCGCAAGAACACCAGUGGCGAAGGCGAGUCUCUGGGCCUGUACUGACGCUGAGGAGCGAAAGCGUGGGGAGCGAACAGG